GCAUGAAGGCCAGCCGCCCGGUGGUGUGGUACGUAGUGGUAAUAGUACGCGCCCCGCUCCGAAACAAAGAAAAAGGUGCGUGCCGCACUCACGAGGGACUGCCAGUGAGAUACUGGAGGAAGGUGGGGAUGACGUCAAGUCCGCAUGGCACUUAUGGGCUGGGCCACACACGUGCUACAAUGGCAAUGACAAUGGGAAGCCAGGCUGUAAGGCGGAGCGGAUCCGGACAGAGG
rnacentral:ncRNA from 1 species